UACGGAGGGGGCUAGCGUUGUUCGGAUUUACUGGGCGUAAAGCGCACGUAGGCGGAUUGUUAAGUCAGGGGUGAAAUCCUGGAGCUCAACUCCAGAACUGCCUUUGAUACUGAAGAUCUUGAGUUCGGGAGAGGUGAGUGGAACUGCGAGUGUAGAGGUGAAAUUCGUAGAUAUUCGCAAGAACACCAGUGGCGAAGGCGGCUCACUGGCCCGAUACUGACGCUGAGGCACGAAAGCGUGGGGAGCAAACAGG
rnacentral:rRNA from 1 species